ACGCCGAUGGUGAAACGGUUAUCAUGCUUGCCUUCCAUAAGAGUAAGCAAGCACUAAGCAAGCGGUAAGGGUUCGACUCCCUUUCGGCGUA